UUAAUUACAAUAUCCAUUAUUUCUCAAUGUUCCAAACUAAACGAUAUUUUUUGAUACGUUAAGCCUAUAUCAAAAUGUACGAGCAGUAAUAUAGAAAAAAGCCAGAGCCAUGUCGAACACGAGAGAGGUUAAGACAGGUUUUUGUUUAUAAUCGUUACGUAUCAGCUAGUGGCGUCACCUUGGAAAGGAAAGAAAAAAUGUCAAUUAUUCGAGGAUUUAAAGUCCAGUAUAAAUGUCGAGAAACGAUAGAAAUUUAGUCGGGAUAAAGCUCGUUUCUACCAGAGCACAUCGGCGUGCAGAUUUGUCUAUAAUAUAGAAUAAGAGAUCUACGUCUAUACUUUUGGUAGAGAUGCUGCGCCUACCUGCUCCGUCUUCUCCAUUAUCUGGAAAAUAGAAAGAUUAAGUUAUUCUUUAAUUUUGAAGUGUUAGUUUAUUUAUCACUCAACCAGUUCGACAUCUUAAAUCGUCUGGAUAAGUUAAAAGAAUUAAUCGGGUGCCAAAAUCGGCGCGGUUUAAUGGACGAUGAAAGUGGUGGCAAAAAUGGAGAAUAUUAGGAAAAUUCGUUUCUAGAAUAACAAAAAUGGAGUUUUUGCCGAGAGAGACAGAGAUAGUUGAGUAUCUCUGUCUCUUAUUGGUCGAUCGAUCUGGAAAGCAAAAUGGCUACCGACAUUUGUUAUCAUCUCUAAUCAUCGGCUCCAUCUCGGAUGGUCGAAAAGCGAGUUAACGGAUUAGAUUUUUUGGAAUGUCGUAGGUAGUUUUCAGAUUUUACGUGGAAAUUUAAUUCCAUCACCACUGUUAAUAAAGGAGUUGUCAAAGAGGAUAACGAAAAGGCUAAGUGUAUAAAUAAAAUCAACCAACAGGAAAACAGUGGGGUGAUAUCUAUUAGAACAUAAGGUGGUCUGUCACAGUGCAGUGAUUUCUCCACCCCCAGCACUUUACCUGGCCACGUGUUACCUAUUGUCCCGCGCUUGUCAUCGCUAAACUGAUGACUCUCAUUAUGGAUUUAUUACUAAACUAACAAGGCUACGCUACCUACUCGUUCUACGCCUGAUAGAGCACUAACUACCCGGGAGGUCCUGGCUAAUUUCUAUCGAAAUACGCCGUAAUUUGAUCCCGUUUUCAGUUAGUAUAAUUUUUAGAAACGUGUUCAUUAAAUAAAAAAAGCACACUUGUGCCUGGUCGGCCAGUCGAACUGAAGAAGAAAAUUUAAAGAUUUUUCAGUCGGCGAUCAUUAAAUUAUGCUUCCAGCUAAGAUCAUAUGGCUCGGGUGCGGUGAACUACCGGGCCAGCCAUUCGAUGGAGGGGAUUUGGUCGAUGGCGGUUGCUAUGGUAACGUUUCGGGUCACGAUGUUGGCAGCGAGUAAGAUCGAACGCUUGCAAGUCACCCUCAAGUCGUACAGUUUACAAGUAAACCAUUGGAUCAGUUUAUCGAUUGGUCCCAGUGCAGAUACGCGUAGAAAAAUAUCGACGAUUUGCUAUUAUAGAAAUCAGGCAUUACUGGAUAAUAUGAACCCAAACAGAAUUUUGAAAAUAGUCUGGUUUAAGGGUGUGAAG
rnacentral:lncRNA from 1 species